AUGUAACAGCUGGCAAUUAUAUUUAUCAUUUGCCUCUCCUGGGGUGCAUCUGUCACAGAUGAGAGCAAGCUCUUCCUUCUGUUGUCAGGAGUUACCUGCAACAAGGUUAUAAGUUUUGCUUAAGUGACCACAAAAAUUCUUCUUGAACAUUUUGGGGUCGUACCUAAAGCAGAGCACCCUGCUCUCCCCGUCGUAGCACUCAGCAUUUCAGUUGUGACAACAGACCGGGAUUUUCUCGACUGAUAACGCUUUGUGAGAUGUUUGCAAUGGGGAAAUUUCCCCUCUAGAUGGCAGAGAUGACAGCAGCAAUAAAGCAGGGGCCCACGCUGCGGAGCAGCAUAACGCGGAGGUGCGCUGCGCUCGCCCCAGUGCGGAAGUCCCCGUCCAUCGCGUGGGAUCUGCCCAGCUGCCACCAGAUGGACGUGCCCAGCAGUGUGCCCAGCUGGCCCGACAGCCCCACGGUGCCCAGAGCUGGGCUGCCAGCCCCGAGCAGAGCCUGCGGGAGAGGACUGCGAGGGGAGUGCUGCACGCAGACUGCUGCCACCUCAUCCUGAGGCACCAACCCAGAGCUCCACAGUGAGCAGGGUUGCGGGCAGCUGAGCAGCAGGGAUUUACCCCCAGGGCUGCGGUUAUGCGGUGAGGAUCCGCAUCUUUUUUCCUGGCUGUGAAAGGUACGGGUGG
rnacentral:lncRNA from 1 species